GCUCCCGCCCCGCGACGAGCCCCUCGCACAAACCGGACCUGAGCGUUUUGUUCGUUCGGCUCGCGUGAGGCAGGGGCGG
ensembl:miRNA MIR375 microRNA 375